UACGAAGGGGGCUAGCGUUGUUCGGAAUUACUGGGCGUAAAGCGCGUGUAGGCGGUUGUUCAAGUCAGGUGUGAAAGCCUUGAGCUCAACUCAAGAAAUGCACUUGAUACUGGAUGACUAGAGGACCGGAGAGGAUAGUGGAAUUCCCAGUGUAGUGGUGAAAUACGUAGAGAUUGGGAAGAACACCAGUGGCGAAGGCGGCUAUCUGGACGGUGACUGACGCUGAGACGCGAAAGCGUGGGGAGCAAACAGG
rnacentral:rRNA from 1 species